GGGGUGGUAGUUCAAUUUGGUUUAGAGCGUCGCCCUGUCACGGCGAAGGUUACGGGUUCGAGCCCCGUCCACCCCG
rnacentral:tRNA from 3 species